rnacentral:lncRNA from 1 species
AUUGAGCAAGUAGCAUAAAGAUGGCUCCCCAAGAAAGCAGUUGGCACUAGGGUCCCAGUCUUAGACCCUGCCCCGCGAGUCACCUGGGCAAGUCACUGUCCCUUUCUUGGCCCCAGUUUCCUUAUCUGCAAAAUGGAAUUGGCCACAGUGCUCCUUCAGGAGGCUUUUAGCUCUCGUCUUCUGCGGUUUGGGGUUUGAGAGUUUCCAGGGUUUGCCCUGGAGAUGAGCCUGUUUCAGACCCUGACCUUUGUGCCUUCAGGGAACGUGCUCUCAGGAGACCUCUUGCUGUUGAUGGGGAGGCUGAGACAGGAUCGCUUCAGAGCUGAGUGGAGACACAUGAUAUUGACUAGAGUUCCCUCCCAGAGGCUCAGGUGGUCUCUGGGAGGGAAACAUGAUCCAAUAAAUGGGGACUGUGGGAAUUACAUUUCUCCCAUUUCCGUCAUUUCUGGGAGGCUCCAGGAGAGUGAAGUUAGUUUAAUUAGCCCAGGGCUUUGUUGACUCCGGUUGGGAAGCUCCCUGUGUACCUCCAAUGCCCCACCCACCCACCAUCCAGGUGCAGUUUCUCUGGACCCUGCUUGCUGCUCUCUUGGGCUAAAUGACGUGGUUCUUGGACCAAGUAGCUAAGAUACCACAUUUUUUUUUAUUAUAA